CUGAAAGUCAGGUUCUAAUAGUGUCAGAUUGUAUUGCAAUUAAGAGUGAAGGAUAUGUGCACAGAUGGAGACAUAGUUAGUCAAGCAAAUAAAAACAGUUGUUAACCAUCUUUGUAAAGUAACAUUAAUUGCAAAAGAAGCAAAUGCCCAAAGGAGGAAAUAUGAAAAGUUAAACAGUAUGUGGAUAUUCUGCAGAGUAUGGCUUAACAAGGUUUCAG